rnacentral:rRNA from 1 species
CCUACGGGUGGCAGCAGUCGAGAAUUAUUCACAAUGGGGGAAACCCUGAUGGUGCGACGCCGCGUGGGGGAAUGAAGGUCUUCGGAUUGUAAACCCCUGUCAUGUGGGAGCAAAUUAAAAAGAUAGUACCACAAGAGGAAGAGACGGCUAACUCUGUGCGAGCAGCCGCGGUAAUACAGAGGUCUCAAGCGUUGUUCGGAAUCACUGGGCGUAAAGCGUGCGGAGGCUGUUUCGUAAGUCGGGUGUGAAAGGCGGGGGCUCAACCCGCGGACGGCACAUGAUACUGCGAGACUAGAGUACUGGAGGGGGAACCGGAAUUCGCGGUGUAGCAGUGAAAUGCGUAGAUAUCGAGAGGAACACUCGUGGCGAAGGCGGGUUCCUGGACAUUAACUGACGCUGAGGCACGAAGGCCAGGGGAGCGAAAGGGAUUAGAUACCCCUGUAGUC